UACCGGCGGCUCGAGUGGUGACCAUUUUUAUUGGGCUUAAAGCGUUCGUAGCUGGGUUGUUAAGUCUCUUGGGAAAUCUGACGGCUUAACCGUCAGGCGUCUAAGAGAUACUGGCGAUCUUGGGACCGGGAGAGGUGAGAGGUACUCCGGGGGUAGGAGUGAAAUCCUGUAAUCCUCGGGGGACCACCUGUGGCGAAGGCGUCUCACCAGAACGGCUCCGACAGUGAGGGACGAAAGCUGGGGGA
rnacentral:rRNA from 1 species